rnacentral:misc_RNA from 1 species
UCCGGUUUGUCACCGGCAGUCUCCUAUGAGUCCCCGACAUUACCCGCUUUAACCAACAUGUCAAGCCUAGGUAAGGUUCUUCGCGUUGCGUCGAAUUAAACCACAUGCUCCACCGCUUGUGCGGGCCCCCGUCAAUUCCUUUGAGUUUCAACCUUGCGGUCGUACUCCCCAGGCGGGGUACUUCCUGCGUUAGCGCCGGCACCCAGAGGGUCGCUCCCCCAGGCACCUAGUACCCAUCGUUUACGGCGUGGACUAC